rnacentral:rRNA from 1 species
CUACAGGCUUAACACAUGCAAGUCGAGGGGCAGCAUAGUCUUAGCUUGCUAAGGCCGAUGGCGACCGGCGCACGGGUGAGUAACACGUAUCCAACCUGCCGUCUACUCUUGGACAGCCUUCUGAAAGGAAGAUUAAUACAAGAUGGCAUCAUGAGUCCGCAUGUUCACAUGAUUAAAGGUAUUCCGGUAGACGAUGGGGAUGCGUUCCAUUAGAUAGUAGGCGGGGUAACGGCCCACCUAGUCUUCGAUGGAUAGGGGUUCUGAGAGGAAGGUCCCCCACAUUGGAACUGAGACACGGUCCAAACUCCUACGGGAGGCAGCAGUGAGGAAUAUUGGUCAAUGGGCGAGAGCCUGAACCAGCCAAGUAGCGUGAAGGAUGACUGCCCUAUGGGUUGUAAACUUCUUUUAUAAAGGAAUAAAGUCGGGUAUGGAUACCCGUUUGCAUGUACUUUAUGAAUAAGGAUCGGCUAACUCCGUGCCAGCAGCCGCGGUAAUACGGAGGAUCCGAGCGUUAUCCGGAUUUAUUGGGUUUAAAGGGAGCGUAGAUGGAUGUUUAAGUCAGUUGUGAAAGUUUGCGGCUCAACCGUAAAAUUGCAGUUGAUACUGGAUAUCUUGAGUGCAGUUGAGGCAGGCGGAAUUCGUGGUGUAGCGGUGAAAUGCUUAGAUAUCACGAAGAACUCCGAUUGCGAAGGCAGCCUGCUAAGCUGCAACUGACAUUGAGGCUCGAAAGUGUGGGUAUCAAACAGGAUUAGAUACCCUGGUAGUCCACACGGUAAACGAUGAAUACUCGCUGUUUGCGAUAUACUGCAAGCGGCCAAGCGAAAGCGUUAAGUAUUCCACCUGGGGAGUACGCCGGCAACGGUGAAACUCAAAGGAAUUGACGGGGGCCCGCACAAGCGGAGGAACAUGUGGUUUAAUUCGAUGAUACGCGAGGAACCUUACCCGGGCUUAAAUUGCAGAUGAAUUACGGUGAAAGCCGUAAGCCGCAAGGCAUCUGUGAAGGUGCUGCAUGGUUGUCGUCAGCUCGUGCCGUGAGGUGUCGGCUUAAGUGCCAUAACGAGCGCAACCCUUGUUGUCAGUUACUAACAGGUUCCGCUGAGGACUCUGACAAGACUGCCAUCGUAAGAUGUGAGGAAGGUGGGGAUGACGUCAAAUCAGCACGGCCCUUACGUCCGGGGCUACACACGUGUUACAAUGGGGGGUACAGAGGGCCGCUACCACGCGAGUGGAUGCCAAUCCCCAAAACCUCUCUCAGUUCGGACUGGAGUCUGCAACCCGACUCCACGAAGCUGGAUUCGCUAGUAAUCGCGCAUCAGCCACGGCGCGGUGAAUACGUUCCCGGGCCUUGUACACACCGCCCGUCAAGCCAUGGGAGCCGGGGGUACCUGAAGUGCGUAACCGCGAGGAGCGCCCUAGGGUAAAACUGGUGACUGGGGCUAAGUCGUA